rnacentral:rRNA from 1 species
GGGGGGGGGGGGGGGGGGGGGGGGGGGGGGGGGGGGGGGGGGGGGGGUUGGGGGGUGGCUCGGGGGGCGGUGGCGGCGGACGGGUGGGUGACCCGUGGGCACCCUGCCCUGGGGCUCGGGAUACCACCGGGAACUCGGUGCUCAUACCGGUGAGUAUCUGAGAUCACAUGAUCUUAGGUUAAAAGAUGGCUCCGGCUAUCCCUCCCGGAUGGCCCCCCGGCGCCUUCGCUAGUUGGUAAGGUAAUGGCUGACCAAGGCGACGAUGCGUAGCCGCCCUGAGAGGGUGAUCGGCAACACGGGGACUGAGACACGGACCAGACUCCUACGGGAGGCAGCAGUAGGGAAUCUUCCGCAAUGGACGAAAGUCUGACGGAGCAACGCCGAGUGAGUGAUGAAGGGUUUCGGCUCGUAAAGCUCUGUUGUUAGGGAAGAAACAGUACCGAACGAACUAGGUCGGUACCUUGACGGUACCUAACCAGAAAGCCACGGCUAACUACGUG